rnacentral:rRNA from 1 species
GAUGAACGCUGGCGGCGUGCCUAAUACAUGCAAGUCGAGCGAACAGACGAGGAGCUUGCUCCUCUGACGUUAGCGGCGGACGGGUGAGUAACACGUGGAUAACCUACCUAUAAGACUGGGAUAACUUCGGGAAACCGGAGCUAAUACCGGAUAAUAUAUUGAACCGCAUGGGUCAAUAGUGAAAGACGGUUUUGCUGUCACUUAUAGAUGGAUCCGCGCCGCAUUAGCUAGUUGGUAAGGUAACGGCCUACCAAGGGAACGAUGCGUAGACGACCUGUGAGGGUGAUCGGCGACACUGGAACUGAGACACGGUCCAGACUCCUACGGGAGGCAGCAGUAGGGAACCGGCCGCAAUGGGCGAAAACCUGACGGAGCAACGCCGCGUGAGUGAUGAAGGUCUUCGGAUCGUAAAACUCUGUUAUUAGGGAAGAACAAAUGUGUAAGUAACUAUGCACGUCUUGACGGUACCGAAUCAGAAAGCCACGGCUAACUACGUG